rnacentral:tRNA from 1 species
GAGACACUAGUAAAAUACAAUUACACUGCUUUGUCAGGGCAAAAUCGUGGGUUUAAAUCCCACGUGUCUUA